UUUGUCAAGCCCAUCCCAUGCUGUAUCAACUUGGUCAUGAUGAAACGCAGCGUUUUCUUUAAGAGUUAGCGUGAGGUAGUCUUCCCAUCUCCAGAGCUAAACGGCGACUUCGGUUGUGCGGCGGAUCUUUCAUCUUCUUCCUUACGAUAACCGAUCUAUCAUCUUUAAACGCUUCAUUAAUCGAUCACCCACGACCUAGAUUCAAUGCGAUUUUUUUUGUUAUGCAAGGCGGUGGAGUUGGACUAUAAAAAAGCCAUAAUUCGUUCUUAUCAAGCCGACUGCUCGGUCUCGGCUACUCCCUCCUCAUGGACGGAACCUUCCUCAUGCUUCACUCCAAGCUGUUUGAUCAAGGAAGCCUUAUUGUGUUUGGCUGGAGACGUCGGAGAAAAAGGCCAUCGGAAGAAUAUUCUCAGUGUGGAAGUUCUCGCCGGAUAAGGAGAAACACUGGAAGGAAGCUCUGAAGGACUUAUCAGUCCAUGGCUGUCAAGAAACUCCUCACGUUCCUGAACUGGAUUUAACCCAUACCCAAAGCCAAUGAAAUGGAGUCUGGAAUCAUGUGGAGCCAUCGGAGAAACAGAGUUCUUCUGUUUGUGUCUUUAGAAUCUUGGAGAGAUUGAGCUUAGGACAUGUAGAAGUAUAUUAUUGAUAAAGAAAAACAACGCACUGAACAUUUUUCCUGAGUGUUAAGGGAACUUCUCUGGAUGGGCAUGCUUUAAUAUUAAAUUUUCUGACGGUUGGGAAAGGUUCAGACAAUUAUCAACAAAAGUACGUGUGAAAAAUGUAGCUGUUGAGGCAACGGAGAAAGAACUAAGACAGUCAGUCCAUUUGGCAGAGUUGAAUAUAGACUAGCUAAUGGUCAUGUAGAGCCUUCUCCUGAAUUCUUCUAUGCUGGUUCUAUGUGGAAGAUUAGUAUUCAGGCGUUUAAUUAUGAAGAUACUCAAGGACACCGAACUAUUGGUUUGUUUCUUCACCAUCGUGAAGCAGAGAUAACAGACUCAAUAAGGACAAAACAUGAUGAUCCAUUUCAAAGAGGGUCUCAGUCUUCCAAAGAGGGCAGUAUACAGGUUACGGUUUUUAAAUAUUAUAUAUCGAUCUCAGGUAAACUGGCUCGGAAAAAAAAAACAAGUCUAAUUUGAUAUCUGGUUUGGUGUUAGUUUCAUGUUUCUCGAUCAAUAAAAUUCAAAGAAUUUAAAAUA